rnacentral:rRNA from 1 species
GACGAACGCUGGCGGCGUGCUUAACACAUGCAAGUCGAACGGAAAGGCCCUGCUUUUGUGGGGUGCUCGAGUGGCGAACGGGUGAGUAACACGUGAGUAACCUGCCCUUGACUUUGGGAUAACUUCAGGAAACUGGGGCUAAUACCGGAUAGGAGCUCCUGCUGCAUGGUGGGGGUUGGAAAGUUUCGGCGGUUGGGGAUGGACUCGCGGCUUAUCAGCUUGUUGGUGGGGUAGUGGCUUACCAAGGCUUUGACGGGUAGCCGGCCUGAGAGGGUGACCGGCCACAUUGGGACGGAGAUGAGGCACAGACUCCUACGGGAGGCAGCAGUGGGGAAGAUUGCACAAUGGGCGGAAGCCUGAUGCAGCAACGCCGCGUGCGGGAUGACGGCCUUCGGGUUGUAAACCGCUGUCGCCUGUGACGAAGCGUGAGUGACGGUAAUGGGUAAAGAAGCACCGGCUAACUACGUG